AACGAACGCUGGCGGCAUGCCUAACACAUGCAAGUCGAACGAGACCUUCGGGUCUAGUGGCGCACGGGUGCGUAACGCGUGGGAAUCUGCCCUUGGGUUCGGAAUAACAGUUGGAAACGACUGCUAAUACCGGAUGAUGACGUAAGUCCAAAGAUUUAUCGCCCAAGGAUGAGCCCGCGUAGGAUUAGCUAGUUGGUGAGGUAAAGGCUCACCAAGGCGACGAUCCUUAGCUGGUCUGAGAGGAUGAUCAGCCACACUGGGACUGAGACACGGCCCAGACUCCUACGGGAGGCAGCAGUGGGGAAUAUUGGACAAUGGGCGAUAGCCUGAUCCAGCAAUGCCGCGUGAGUGAUGAAGGCCUUAGGGUUGUAAAGCUCUUUUACCCGGGAUGAUAAUGACAGUACCGGGAGAAUAAGCUCCGGCUAACUCCGUG
rnacentral:rRNA from 1 species